rnacentral:rRNA from 1 species
CACUCCUGCGGGAGGCAGCAGUGGGGAAUAUUGGACAAUGGGCGCAAGCCUGAUCCAGCCAUGCCGCGUGAGUGAUGAAGGCCCUAGGGUUGUAAAGCUCUUUUGUGCGGGAAGAUAAUGACGGUACCGCAAGAAUAAGCCCCGGCUAACUUCGUGCCAGCAGCCGCGGUAAUACGAAGGGGGCUAGCGUUGCUCGGAAUCACUGGGCGUAAAGGGUGCGUAGGCGGGUCUUUAAGUCAGGGGUGAAAUCCUGGAGCUCAACUCCAGAACUGCCUUUGAUACUGAAGAUCUUGAGUUCGGGAGAGGUGAGUGGAACUGCGAGUGUAGAGGUGAAAUUCGUAGAUAUUCGCAAGAACACCAGUGGCGAAGGCGGCUCACUGGCCCGAUACUGACGCUGAGGCACGAAAGCGUGGGGAGCAAACAGGAUUAGAAACCCGAGUAGUCCCAUGA